CCAGGAGGCCCAAAAAGGAACUGCUGAGCAAGCCAGAGGAUUUGACACUGUGACGGAUGAAACUGCUGUAGAUGUCAGUCCGAUGCCUAUUGAUGAACCUACUGUGAAAGUUGAGCAAGAAACAUUAAACAAAGCAUCGGAUCAGAUGUACCCAAAGCCCUAAGCAAAAUCCUCCCAAUUAGAUUCUGGAUGUAUUUUCUGCGUCUGCAAUUCGUCAGACAUUAUAGACUCCUAUGUUUAUCAAUCAAUCUAAAUUUGUACAAGUAAUGAAAACCUAAUACUAUGAUUUUGCUUUAUAUCGUAUCAAGAGUUUAAAGUUUUAAUAUGUCAAACUUCAAAGUUCGAACUUGAAGGUCAAAACAGUUUUAAGAUUAGUAGCAGCACAUAAAUAUAGGCAGUGGAUUUUAUUAGCAUUCUUAUUUAUAGAACAAUCGUAGUGAAUUGAUUCAUUGUUGACAA